CGCGCGGUUAGACGGACCGAUGUUCGAUUAGCUAGUUGGCGGGGUAAUGGCCCACCAAGGCGACGAUCGAUAGCUGGUCUGAGAGGAUGAUCAGCCACACUGGGACUGAGACACGGCCCAGACUCCUACGGGAGGCAGCAGUGGGGAAUAUUGGACAAUGGGCGCAAGCCUGAUCCAGCAAUGCCGCGUGUGUGAAGAAGGCCUUCGGGUUGUAAAGCACUUUUAUCAGGAGCGAAAUGCUAUCGGCUAAUACCCGGUAGAGCUGACGGUACCUGAGGAAUAAGCACCGGCUAACUUCGUGCCAGCAGCCGCGGUAAUACGAAGGGUGCAAGCGUUAAUCGGAAUUACUGGGCGUAAAGCGUGCGUAGGCGGUUUUUUAAGUCUGCUGUGAAAUCCCCGGGCUCAACCUGGGAAUGGCAGUGGAUACUGGAAAGCUAGAGUGUGAUAGAGGAUGGUGGAAUUCCCGGUGUAGCGGUGAAAUGCGUAGAGAUCGGGAGGAACAUCAGUGGC
rnacentral:rRNA from 1 species